AACGAACGCUGGCGGCAUGCCUAACACAUGCAAGUCGAACGAGACCUUCGGGCCUAGUGGCGCACGGGUGCGUAACGCGUGGGAACCUGCCCUUAGGUUCGGAAUAACUCCCCGAAAGGGGUGCUAAUACCGGAUAAUGUCUUCGGACCAAAGUUUUAUCGCCUUUGGAUGGGCCCGCGUUGGAUUAGCUAGUUGGUAGGGUAAAAGCCUACCAAGGCGACGAUCCAUAGCUGGUCUGAGAGGAUGAUCAGCCACACUGGGACUGAGACACGGCCCAGACUCCUACGGGAGGCAGCAGUGGGGAAUAUUGGACACUGGGCGAGAGCCUGAUCCAGCAAUGCCGCGUGAGUGAUGAAGGCCUUAGGGUUGUAAAGCUCUUUUACCCGGGAUGAUGAUGACAGUACCGGGAGAAUAAGCUCCGGCUAACUCCGUG
rnacentral:rRNA from 1 species